rnacentral:lncRNA from 1 species
CGCGCACGGUCCACCUGGCGCUCGGGGCCGCGAGCGAGCGCAGCCAGGCCGCCCGGGAACUUUUUUCCUCGCGCUCUCGCUCUCCCGCUCCCCGCGUCGCCCGCCGCCCGCCCGCCCGCCCGCUCUUCCUGUGAGGAGGAGAUCGCGUUUCCCCGCGGCACCCGCGGACACCAGGCAGCCCGGGCGGGUGCGCGGCCAGGACCCGCUCCCCGCGCCGCCUGCUCCCCGCGUUCCCGGGCGCCGCCCCCGCCCGCGUCUAGGCUCCGAGAGGCGACUUGGAGAGCAAGGCGGCGAGGGCGACUGGCGAGCCGAGCAGGCCGCCCAGCCCGCGGCUCAAGCGUCGGCGCGAGGAGGGGCACCGCGGCCCACCUCCUUCCUGCCUGGCCGCGGGCCGGUCGGGCCGCCGCGCCUGACCCCCAUGGCCGCCGAGGCCUCCGGGCCGCUACGUCGCAGCGCCAGACGCAGGGUCCCCGAGUGAGCGCGGGCGCCGAGGAGACACCCAGAUUGGGACCCAGAUUGAUGCUCUGAACAUGGUUUAUCUGGAUUUGCUCUUGUGGGCUGGGCACUGCCUGUGUAUAGAACUUCCCAAGUGACAAGAUGGGACAGUGGAAUGGCCUUAAUGAUCCUCUUCUGAAGGGCCUGGCUUGGGCAAGACUGCUCCCUGGAUACCUGGUGCUGUCAAGGCAGCCGUGCUUCAGUUUCCAUGUCUGUCAAGUGGGCUAUGGACACUUCCACGGACUGCUGUGCUAGCUGCAACCACCAUCCCCUUCCCUGGAAGACUCUGGGAUGAAGCCAAACAGGGCAGGAAAGCCCCAGAACAGUAG